rnacentral:rRNA from 1 species
ACGUAGGUGGCGAGCGUUGUCCGGAUUUACUGGGCGUAAAGGGUGCGUAGGCGGAUAUUUAAGUGGGAUGUGAAAUCCCCGGGCUUAACCUGGGGGCUGCAUUCCAAACUGGAUAUCUAGAGUGCAGGAGAGGAAAGCGGAAUUCCUAGUGUAGCGGUGAAAUGCGUAGAGAUUAGGAAGAACACCAGUGGCGAAGGCGGCUUUCUGGACUGUAACUGACGCUGAGGCACGAAAGCGUGGGUAGCAAACAG